GUAGUCACUGGGGCUUUGGCUUAUCUUGCUUCUUCCUGUUUUUCUUAAACCACUGUGUGUGGGAUAUGUGUGCUGAAGAUUGGAGCAGCUAAAAGCUACAGGCAACAUUUUGCUUUCUGUUACCCCAGCACAACUUUCUCAUUUCCAAGAGGGUGCAGCCAGGAGCUCUCUUCUGCUCAGUCCAAAAGAUGCAACCACAUACCUGAACAGCCUUUUGUCCCCUCUUCCCCAUAGUCCUUGGAAAAGUGGCUCCUCCUUAAACUGGUGGCACUGGCUUCUGAUGCAGAUAAAUCACUUCCAGAGCAAGCCCAAAUAUGCAGAUAACCAUAAAAUUACAGCACCCUCUCACCACAGAGAUGUAGAGAUGGGACAUGGUCGCUCCAGCAAAACCAAACUCUGGCUUAGAAGAUUUGGAAAGUGAAAAAGAA
rnacentral:lncRNA from 1 species